UGCGGCACUAGCGCGGUGGUCCCACCUGACCCCAUGCCGAACUCAGAAGUGAAACGCCGUAGCGCCGAUGGUAGUGUGGGGUCUCCCAUGCGAGAGUAGGGAACUGCCAGGCU
rnacentral:rRNA from 1 species